CUUUGGGAUAACUUCAGGAAACUGGGGCUAAUACCGGAUAGGAGCUCCUGCUGCAUGGUGGGGGUUGGAAAGUUUCGGCGGUUGGGGAUGGACUCGCGGCUUAUCAGCUUGUUGGUGGGGUAGUGGCUUACCAAGGCUUUGACGGGUAGCCGGCCUGAGAGGGUGACCGGCCACAUUGGGACUGAGAUACGGCCCAG
rnacentral:rRNA from 1 species